UGUGUCCUACGAGAGGCAGCAGUAGGGAAUUUUCGGCAAUGGGGGGAACCCUGACCGAGCAACGCCGCGUGAAGGAAGAAGGGUUUCGGCUCGUAAACUUCUAUCAACAGGGACGAAAGAAAUGACGGUACCUGAAUAAGAAGCCCCGGCUAACUACGUGCCAGCAGCCGCGGUAAUACGUAGGGGGCAAGCGUUAUCCGGAAUUACUGGGUGUAAAGGGUGAGUAGGCGGCAUGGUAAGCCAGAUGUGAAAGCCUUGGGCUUAACCCGAGGCUUGCAUUUGGAACUAUCAAG
rnacentral:rRNA from 1 species